rnacentral:lncRNA from 1 species
UAAAAUCGAGCUCCUCUGGACUUGACCCGAUAUUGGUCAUUUCUUCAUAAAAACUGUCUACCACCCCCACUCAUGCAUCACAGCUGAAUUUCUUGUGUUAUCCUAAGUGAAAACAAGCUAAAUCUUUUCAGCUGCUCUUAAUAAGGGUGCUUGGCCACAGUGCUUCAAGAGCAAGUAGGAACCACCUUUGAAAUCCUUUUUGCCCUUUUUUUUCUUCUUUUUUUCUGAUUAGUGCAUUCAACCAUUUCUCUGGUCAUAUCCAUACAGUUAUGGUUAUGACAGGUGAUCCUGUCCUUUUUCACAGCACUAUAAAAGCUGUGAUAGCAUAACCAUUUUGCUCAAAGCUUGAUAUACUCAGGUUUAAUCUGGAUGUGCAGUCCUGUUUACCUUCUAAAGAUUAUAUAAAUGGCUAAAUGCAGUCAAAGACAAUGCACAGUACCUUAGGUGAGAGAAGACUAUUUUGCUUUCUGAGUGAGCUCCUCAGGUACUUCCAUUGUCGGAAAAGAAAUAUGAGACUUCCACAAGAUGAGAACUGUAUGGUAUGUCUGUUACCACGUCAAGUGCCUGUUUCAAGUGCUAACCAUAUUGUCAAACAUGCUGGCAAUCAACAAAAUAAAUGCAUCUGGGAACAUGAGAUGGUUUUUCAAAAUCUGUAUCUGUGCAUAUCAGUUGCCACACAAACUAAUACAAUUGUACUUUGACAAAAUCAGCAAGCAUUUAAGUAAUUGAUGUUUGUUUCUCAAGAUGCAUUAAGCACGUGGAUAGGCAGAAAAGUGGCUGCAAAUACUUAAAGCAGCAUGUGCUACGACAUACAAAACAAACUUUGAAAGAUCUGCUAGCCCAGAGGAAGAAUAAUGCUUUAAUUUAUGACAUUACUAUAACACUUUCAGGGUUGGAUCUACGUGGCCUUUUCCUACAGAAAAAUUUACUUUAACCAUUAGCCCUCUAUGCAUUUUGCCAUAAUGCUAUUGGUGAUGUUAUUUUCUCCAUAUAAUUUCAGUAGCUCCUUUUUUGAUAUUCCAAGAUGGAGCUUUGCUUUGUGUAGGAAGCUAUCAAACAGAAAGUGCAGCAUUGUCAAGAAGUCUCUCCUUCAAAGAAAACUUAAACUAUUGCCUCUCAGGCAGUGGGGUAGUGGAUCUGAAACCUUACUGCUUAGCUCUGAGGAAAAGAAAAGGGUUCUGCUUAAUGAAAUUCAAUUUAUGAAGCAACUUCUGAAGAUCUUACAUUAACUUGUAUUGUGCAGCUAGGCCCCUGUAUGCUGUUAAAUGCCAUUAACAUACUUGGAAAAAGAUUUUCUAAUUGGAUCAGGUUGAGUCAUGUAAUGUUUCCAGUAAAUAUUAAAGUUCCUGAGAACAAAAAUAUUAGCCUUUCUUUCGAGAGAAAGUGAAAGCACUACAGACUUGCACAGUGGACAAAGCUGGGAGCUGUGUCUCUUCUCUAAAACUGAGGCGGUGAACACUGUUGUUACUUCUUUGUGAGGCAAAUGUAUCUUGAGAAGUGAGAGAAAUGAGAAAAGCUCAGUAAUGCUUGUACAUGAUACUGGAUGGGAGGUGUGUGUAUGUAUAUUUUACAGGUAACACUAAUAUGGCACAUUAGUAGUCCUUAUGGGAAGUAGAUGGAGUAAUGGGCACAAGCAAUUUCUACUGUAUUUUGAAUCAAAAGAAAUCAUUGGGGUAUAUGCUUCAGCAACUAUAAUUAAAUUUGAUUUACCAUUAAGAUAAUUACAUCUGCUUGAUAAGGCUGGUCUGCAUUACCUACAUGGAAGUAACUCGGUGGCAGAGAGCAACCAAAUUUCUGUUCACCUGUACAUUUGCAUGAAGCAAGAUUGGAAAAUCUCUCUACACACAUGGGUGGUGGCUUGGCAGCUCUGAAGUUUAAUGUUAUGUUAAGCACAGGUUUAGUUUAGCAUGUUCAAGAGUAAAUUAUAUGUAAACAAUCCCUACUGAAAUUACAAAUGCAUAAUUGUACUCACUGUAAACUCUCUAGGAAGAAGUUUUUUUGUCAAGUUUUCACUUCAUACUGGGCAGCCUCAGACAAUGUCAUCUGAACUGGAUCUCUAGAUACUGCCAUGUUAAGAAAAAUACAAACAAUGUGUGCUAGUUGCUAGUUCCUUUGAAUCAACUUGAAAAACAAGAAUUUCUAUUUCCAAGAAGCUAGCAUAAAUUAUGUAUGUGUCUUUUGAGUUCUGACUUUGAUUGCUGUUACUUCCUAAAAUGUGUCUUUUAAUGACUUUCUGAAGUAUCAUUAGUGCAUUAAGAAAAACUGUAAAACUUAAAAUUGAGUACAACUUUGGAUCCCAUUAAAAACCACGUCUUUCUGUCUGGGCCCUAAUUCCUAGAAAAUGUAAAAGUUAGGGCUCUUUCCUGCAAGCUUGCAAAAUAGGAAAUAGCUUUGCUGUUACAUCACCCUUUCUGCCACCUGCUGUGCAUGAUACUUGCCAUGUCAUUUAUCUCAACAGCUCUUUGGGAUGUGGAUUCCAUAGGAAGUCAUCUGUCAAAUAAUUUUCCCAUGGCAAAUAAGUUAAAAGAUCUCAGUGUAUUCCAACAAUUUGCUUACUUGGAGAAGGAAGGGAAAGGUAGAAGAGAAUGUUUAACCAAAACCAAUAAAACACAUCCUUUAGUUACUUCUAGAUAUUGG